GAAUUAUAUAAGUUAUAGAAUAAACGCUCGUUAAAGGCUAUAUUUUUAAUGCAGUUAAUCAGUGCAUGAUUGCACUCAACAAACAACAAAAUAGCAUAUCGUUUAACUUCUUUUACUCUGCUUGAUAAGCAGGAAAAGUUCUCAAAAAUUGGGCCUGGUACAAAUAGUUGCAUCCAUAGAAGGCACUACAAAGUCUAAACAGGAACCCGUUAAAGAAAAGG